AAGACAUCGGUGGAAUAGAAAGAAGAACCCAUCGACCUUAUAAUAAAACGGCGGGAGAUCAGAAGCAAGUGACCGUAAAUGUCUGUUUGGCAAUUUACGAUGCAAGGCUCUAUCCUUUUCUUCCAGAAUGCGCUGCUUGCCAGAGCACGUGGUUUCGAGAACGAACUUCCGCCGCUAUCGUGCAAGGAAAAGCCAAGUCCACGGGAGAUUCAUAAAGGCAUAAUCGAUACGUCUUCUCCAUAAUGGAUGAAACAUGUCAAAUUCAAGGAGAAGGAUAGCCACAGUUAUCAUGUUUUCGUUAUUGCCUUCAAAUCCUCAAGAAAUCCAUGAGGAAACUAGGAAUUUCAGCAGGCACUCAAAAAGACUAUGUAGAUGCUCACUGAUCCAUCUCGAGCGAGGGGAUUGCAGCCAGGGACCGAAGAAUGCGACCCGCCGUCACAUUGUAUGCUUAUGAAUGGAAUCUCCCAGCCUCAGGGAUUGAACGCUACCUAUUCAUAAUUUCAUCUAUUCACACCUCAGUAUUAAAAAAAGAACGGCGAAUAAAAAAAGAAAUUCCCUUCCCAUACAAAGUUCUAUGGAUAUCUCGCUGUAUGUAUACACACUCUUUUUCCCCAGAAGUUGCCGUGAUAUUUGAAUCCUGUAGAUAU